GUUACACAAAGGCAGGGGAGACUAAAGAGACUGCUCAUUUCAAGGACUCUCGCUCAGUUGGUGAACAAUGAGUUCUUCAACGCAGCCUAUAGAAGAUACAUACUUUUUUUUUUUUACAAAGAGCUCCUCUGACUGCUGACUAUCACUGAGCCUUCUCCCCUUCUCCACACACUUCAAUUCCUUAAGGACAUCAUCUACCACUUUACAGAGUUUCUUCUCACCAGACUACCAAAUACCCAACUGUGCUGUAUCAAUAAGCAGUUGCAGACAGGAAGUGGGGAGCCUCAUGCACACAGCUGCGGAAUGAAACAGAAGCAGCAGGGGAAGAGAGCUGCCGCAAUUGCUCAUCGGCUCUAGACUGAAAUAUGUGAAGGGAGGCUUUCCCACCUUCAAAUCAAACCUGGAAUCAACAGAGUUCUCAUCCCCACUUGAAAUUCCUUCUCUAAACACAGCCUUUCUCGUUGAUAAAGAAAGCCCGGGAGCUAAUUGCUAGGUAGAAGAUACAGGAAGGACUUCCUGUCCCAGGAGGAAAAGGUAGAUGCAAGGAAGGAGAACGGGCCUUUCUGCAUUACUUUGGAGGAAGAACUCAACCGUGUGUCUCUGCCCUCCACUACAGGUGCCUCGUAUGGAAUCUACAAGAGUUUGGAAGAUCAAGAUCCAUCAAAGCCUGGUGUUUAAAUACCCUGGUCUCCACGUGUCAGUACUGGAUAAUAAUGGGGAAGGGCCCAUCAACUACUUCAUUUGUUUUUAUUUUCUACCCAUGAAGUAAAUGGUUUUGAUUUGUGACAUCCUGUCACUUUAGUGUGC
ensembl:lncRNA